AGAGGACUCUAGUCUCCUGGUUCAUAUUCAUGGUAGAAUCCACAGCGGCUACUGGAGAGGACUCUAGUCUCCUGGUUCAUAUUCAUGGUAGAAUCCACAGCGGCUACUGGAGAGGACUCUAGUCUCGUCGAGCAGCAGUGACGGUCCCCUUUGCUAGUUUAACAGUGUGGCAUCAAAAACAGCAUGCAGCUAUUAAAGUCCUCCUUGUUAAGAGUGAGACGCUCUUUUCAGUGAUUUUUCUCUUAAACAGUUCACCGAUCCAUUCUCAACACAGCGUUGUGUAUACUUAUUACAGGGGUCGCUGGUCUCACAUUUGAGUGUGACCAGUAUUUCGAUUUUUUUUUUUUUGCUGUUGUUGUUCAGUUUACGCACUCCAGGAGAGGCAGAAGUGACCGAUGCAUUCAGUGUGUUUUUUUCUCGUUACCUUGGUGACGGGUUUAACCUUUUGGUGUGUUAUCAGGGUGUGUACAGCUGGCGUAUAGACCUGUCCAAAGCAGAGAAGUACUGGGACGGAUGGUUCAGAGGAAUCUCCAAUCUGUUCCUGGGAUGCAACCUGCCCAAACUCCUCCUGUUAGCAGGUGUAGAUCGUCUGGACAGAGACCUGACUAUAGGCCAAAUGCAAGGCAAAUUCAUGAUGCAGGUGCUGCCCCCUAGUGGCCACGCAGUGCACGAGGACACACCAGACAAAGUUGCAGAUGCUCUGGCCAGCUUUCUGUUCAGACACAAGUUUGCUGAGGCCAGCAGAGGUCAGCGCACGAGCUCCUCCUACCCUUUCACGCGGUGAAGUCAGCAGGCCAACAGAGUACAUCCAGUCUUUCUGUGUCCUGAACAACAAAUAUUUCAAUCCUUUUCAUAUUUUACUUUCCAACAGUUUAUAGUGUUUUAGUAUUAACUUUGGUUACAUCAUUUUAGCAUCUUAGUCACUUAGAGUUCAAUCUUUUACAGUCGUAGUGUAGUUCAGCAAAUAUAUUGCAGUGUUUUUAAUAAGGUACAAGCCCCAGGUAGUACGGGCAGCGGGAUGGUGUUAUGUAUGUAGUAAAAUGUGUCGAGUUGGACUGUGACUUCAAACACGUGUUGGGUAAACAGUUCUCAUGGGAGAGGAAUGUGACGAUCACUAACACACACACACACACACUAAGGAAAGCAGGCACACACACACACACACUAAGGAAAGCAGGCACACACACACACACACUAAGGACAGCAGGCAUGCACACACACACACACACACACACACACACACACACAGGAAAGCAGGUAUGCACACUACACACACACACUAAGGAAGGCAGGCAUGCGCGCACACACACACACACACACACACACACUAAGGAAAGCAGGCAUACACACACACAGACUAAGGAAAGCAGGCACACACACACACACUAAGGAAAGCAGGCACACGCACACUAAGGAAAGUAGGCAUGCACACACAGUAAUAUGAUACAGAUAGGGAGUGAUGAUAUUUUCAUAAAAGCUACAUUUCUUGUUGUGUGAAGGAAGCCAUGUUUUAAAAGGACGCUAGAAAGACAACAAUAACAUGUAGUAGCAGGAAACGGACUAGUUUCUGAUAAACAUAGUCCUGGAUGUGGACUAGUUUUGGAAACCAGUGUGCUGUUGUAAAUAGACACCAGGCUCAUAUAGUUUGUCCUUCCAUGUUAUUCUGUCAUGUAAUGUCUCUCUUAAGGGUUUAUUCAUGUUAAUCUGUAAUGUCUCCUAAGGGUUUUAUUCAUGUUAAUCUGUAAUGUCUCUCUAAGGGUUUAUUCAUGAUAAUCUGUUAAUCUGUAAUGUCUCUUCUAAGGGUUUAUUCAUGAUAAUCUGUUAAUCUGUAAUGUCUCUCUAAGGGUUUAUUCAUGAUAAUCUGUUAAUCUGUAAUGUCUCUCUAAGGGUUUUAUUCAUGUUAAUCUGUAAUGUCUCUAAGGGUUUAGUCAUGAUAAUCUGUUAAUCUGUAAUGUCUCUUAGGAGUUUUAUUCAUGAUAAUCUGUUAAUCUGUAAUGUCUCUCUAAGGGUUUUAUUCAUGUUAAUCUGUAAUGUCUCUCUAAGGGUUUAUUCAUGAUAAUCUGUUAAUCUGUAAUGUCUCUCUAAGGGUUUAGUCAUGAUAAUCUGUUAAUCUGUAAUGUCUCUCUAAGGGUUUUAUUCAUGUUAAUCUGUAAUGUCUCUAAGGGUUUAGUCAUGAUAAUCUGUUAAUCUGUAAUGUCUCUCUAAGGGCUUUAUUCAUUAAAAGAGAGACAUGAAAAAAAAA